CUCUAAAUAUUUACAAUGAAUUAAAGGAACGAAAUAAAUAAGGACUUUGACAGUAGCGAUAGUAAUGACUAUGCAAGAAAUAGAUCCUGAGUAUAUAGUCGCUAAGCGUUAGGAGCUGCUGAUAACGAAAUUGAAAUAAAAUUCGGAGUGCAAAGGGUUAAACGUGUUGGUUUGUUUUCGGAAGAAACGAGUGAUAUUAAAAUCAGUGCAAGUACAAGUACAGAGAUAGUGUAUGUAUGCCGGUCGUAAUCGUCGCCCGUUCAAUGCUCGUGGUAUUGCCAACCCAAUAACUCUUCAACUCGCUAACUAUUCAACUAUUCGACUGCCCUAGAGACCACACCUUGCAAAACAAAACGACGUUGGUAUUGCAAGACGCAAUAAUAUGAGUUUCUGCCGGUUUAAAUCUUUCAUUGACUCAUGUGUCACUACAAAACUAACCCUUUGCACUUGAUGGCCUUUUCGGUCGGGCGUAGCAGCAACUCGAGGCGAUUUUGCGCGUAUGUGACGAGUGUUUUGUAGAACAUCUGCCAAGAUGCAUCCUUAGCUUGUCGGGACAAGUAUUGAAAUAAUAAGUUGUUUCGUGUCUUUCUCCUGCUUUGUUUCGGUAAGAACACACCUUACAAUCCUUUUUUGUUCUUGUUAAAAUUACAUGGAGCUUUACAUUUAAUCGAAUUCCAUCACAAUUAGCAGUCGACGUCGAAACUGGAUCUCGCGGUUGUCGAAUAUCUCCUCUCAACUGGUCUACUAAAGUUCUUAUAAAUCGUGGUUAAGUAAACUUUUGUUCUUUUGUUUUUUUUACAAAAUAUAAGAAUUAAUUAAACAAAUUUCCAAAUCCAUUUUUUUAGAGCUUCCAAAUUUACGUAACUGUAAUAUUUCUGCCACCAUCGUCGAAUGUAAACUAAUACCAUAGUUUCGGAAGAAUUUCAGCAGAAAUAUUUCAUCUGCAGCUUAAAGUGUAACACUUCACACUUCAUAACAAACAAUAUAAAGAGCCAAGGAAUCUAUUUACGAACCAAUACUGCGCUCCCAUCAAUUGGAGAAGUGGAAAUUUAGCAUAAACAGGGACUAUCGCCUCUCAUUCCCCUCUUGAGUUGCCACACGGGACGCCGUGGUCACGGAAAAUAACCUCUCGAAUGCAAAGGGUUAAUAUCCUAUAGCUAUAAGAACUCUUGAAGAGCCACGUUUAAUUCCUUCACAAUUUAACCGAAAACAUUUGUCUCUCCAAAAUCAAGUACUCUCGUCAAACCAUCCAACGUUCCCUCUCUCAUACAUUUGUCUCUUAUCUAAGAAAAAACUUCAAAAUC